UACGUAGGGUGCAAGCGUUAAUCGGAAUUACUGGGCGUAAAGCGUGCGCAGGCGGUUGUGCAAGACAGAUGUGAAAUCCCCCGGGCUCAACCUGGGAAUUGCAUUUGUGACUGCACGGCUAGAGUGUGUCAGAGGGGGGGUAGAAUUCCACGUGUAGCGGUGAAAUGCGUAGAUAUCUGGAGGAACACCGAUGGCGAAGGCAAUCCCCUGGGCCUGCACUGACGCUCAUGCACGAAAGCGUGGGGAGCAAACAGG
rnacentral:rRNA from 1 species